UACGUAGGGGGCAAGCGUUGUCCGGAAUUAUUGGGCGUAAAGAGCUCGUAGGCGGCUUGUCACGUCGACUGUGAAAACCCGGGGCUCAACUCCGGGCCUGCAGUCGAUACGGGCUGGCUUGAGUGCGGUAGGGGAGACUGGAAUUCCUGGUGUAGCAGUGAAAUGCGUAGAUAUCAGGAGGAACACCGAUGGCGAAGGCAGGUCUCUGGGCUGACACUGACGCUCAUGCACGAAAGCGUGGGGAGCAAACAGG
rnacentral:rRNA from 1 species